UACGGAGGGUGCAAGCGUUAUCCGGAUUUAUUGGGUUUAAAGGGUCCGUAGGCGGACUAGUAAGUCAGUGGUGAAAUCCGACAGCUUAACUGUCGAACUGCCAUUGAUACUGCUAGUCUUGAGUAAGGUUGAAGUGGCUGGAAUAAGUAGUGUAGCGGUGAAAUGCAUAGAUAUUACUUAGAACACCAAUUGCGAAGGCAGGUCACUAAGUCUUAACUGACGCUGAUGGACGAAAGCGUGGGGAGCGAAC
rnacentral:rRNA from 1 species